CCUACGGGUGGCUGCAGUCGAGGAUCUUCGGCAAUGGGCGCAAGCCUGACCGAGCGACGCCGCGUGUGCGACGAAGGCCUUCGGGUUGUAAAGCACUGUCGAGGGGGAGGAAAGCCGCAAGGCCUGACCUAUCCCUGGAGGAAGCACGGGCUAAGUUCGUGCCAGCAGCCGCGGUAAGACGAACCGUGCGAACGUUGUUCGGAAUCACUGGGCUUAAAGGGCGCGUAGGCGGGCGAGCAAGUCCGGGGUGAAAGCCCCCGGCCCAACCGGGGAAGUGCCUUGGAUACUGCUCGCCUUGAGGGAGGUAGGGGCCCGCGGAACUUCCGGUGGAGCGGUGAAAUGCGUUGAUAUCGGAAGGAACGCCGGUGGCGAAAGCGGCGGGCUGGCCCUCUUCUGACGCUGAGGCGCGAAAGCCAGGGGAGCAAACGGGAUUAGAUACC
rnacentral:rRNA from 1 species